CCUACGGGAGGCAGCAGUGGGGAAUAUUGCACAAUGGGGGAAACCCUGAUGCAGCGACGCCGCGUGAGUGAAGAAGUAAUUCGUUAUGUAAAGCUCUAUCAGCAGGGAAGAAAAUGACGGUACCUGAGUAAGAAGCCCCGGCUAACUACGUGCCAGCAGCCGCGGUAAUAAGUAGGGGGCAAGCGUUAUCCGGAUUUACUGGGUGUAAAGGGAGCGUAGACGGCAGUGCAAGUCUGGAGUGAAAGGCGGGGGCUCAACCCCCGGACUGCUCUGGAAACUGUACGGCUGGAGUGCAGGAGAGGUAAGUGGAAUUCCUAGUGUAGCGGUGAAAUGCGUAGAUAUUAGGAGGAACACCAGUGGCGAAGGCGGCUUACUGGACUGUAACUGACGUUGAGGCUCGAAAGCGUGGGGAGCAAACAGGAUUAGAUACCCCUGUAGUC
rnacentral:rRNA from 1 species